UCCUGACUCACGGGACUUCCCCUUCAAGCAGGGCAGUCUGGCGGUGGGUCACGGCUCUCUUACGAUUUUUCUUAUGAAGGAAGCAACGAGCCUGGUAAUUGAGAGGCCUACAUUCCUUUGUUCCAGUCCCGGUGUUGAUUCUUCUAUAGGAGCUCAUAUUUGCUGUGCACCUUUCAAGUCCCUGACAUACUGGUUUCCUUAUACUCAGCCCACGUUUCCUGUUCUCACUUUUUUCUUUUCAUGCCACACAUUCAAUUAUGUGUCUCACCUUCCCUAGCUGUGAUUAACCCCGCACACGUUAAAAUUUUGAAUUGUGACUAUUUCAGUUGUUAAAAAUAAUGGGCAACUCAUGAAUCAGCACAGAAUUUAAAAGGUGUUAAAAGAAUAAGUCCAUCGACCCUUAACAAUUAUAUAUGUGCGCACAGAGAUUGCACAAGAAUGGGCCGACAGGGAUGGAGGAGGGACUCAGGGGGCCCCAUGCCUUGCUCAUUAGACUAGGGAAAGGGGAGACAGUGCCUUUGCUCCUGUACCUACUGAUGACCCUGCCAAGCUCUAGUGGAUAGUCCCCAUCCAACAGUCACAUAGAUAACUCUAACUAAAUGAGUGACACAACAAACCAAAGUCAUGACUCUGAGAUGGGACAGGGAGGGAGGAGGGGGGCUAGGAGGGGGAGGAGAGGGGUAAGAGUGAUGCAGGAAAAACAGUAGCCAGAAUGCACUGAAUACAUGUAUGGAGUUGUUACAGAACUUUAAAAAGUCAUCAUACUAAUUCUCAUCAUUUUUGGAUCAUAAUGAUAUUCUUAUUUUUAUUUGCCAUGUCCAUUGUCUUAUAGCUGUAACAAUUUGAGAUUGGUAAUAAAAUUUAAAAGUACAUUAAAGAAAAAAUAAAAUCAAGUCUCCAUCGCCUAUUGUUCCCUGAACAUCCAGGCUCAUUCCCCAUUGAUAGUCUCACACAUUGUUUCUAGGCCAGAAAACCUAGAAAGCAUUUUUCCUACCCUUUCAAUGAAGCAGGUCACCAGGCUCCCAGGAGUGGUACCCUUCCUAUGUGAAGAGGAAAGGAGCAUCUCUGUCUGGAAGAUGGAGGGAUGCCUGACUAUCUGAGCAUCCAGGCCCCAUUGGUUUCUCCCAGUUUACUACUAUUAGGUAAUACUCUUGUGCCAUCAUAUUUAUUCCUGGCUGUCUAGUAAUCAAAUGGGGCAUAGAGCUAUGCAGGCCCAGUCUUCUCUUUGAAUCUUCAUUUCUUUAUGACAUCCCCUGUCUCACAUUAAACUUAAAUAAAUCCAUAUUUAUUUCCUCUGACCAGUCUGUCUUUUGUUAUAGGGUUCUCAGCCAGGGACCUAAGAUGUGUAGGAACAAAUGGUUUUCUUCUACUACAAACAGCAUACACCCUCCAGUUCAAUCUUAUGCAACACUCAGUCCUGUGCCUCAGAGGUAUCCCGCCCUGGACUGAAGCAACAGCUAGCUUUUCUGGCAGGCUGCACUCUGGAGUGAACCUACCCUGACAGCCAGGUUGACCAGUGAGGUUCACAAUUGAUUAAACCUUCUUCUACCUCCCCUUGUUCAAAGAGUAAAGCAGGAUCUUUGCUCACCCCUGCCUCAACUUGAUCCAUGUCUUCCUUCCACACUUCAGCCAGAUAACAUUGUUGAUACAGAGCCAUCAGCCAUGACCUAUGAGACAAGACAUAUGAGAAACUGAGGGAAAAAAAUAACAAAGUGCCUACAUUGCCACUGAUCCAAUGUGAGCAAUCACAUACUCUCUUGGAUUAUCAGAAAAUCAGGUAUGUUUAAUUACACAGUAUUGAUAUUAUGUAUGAAUUUCAUGAAUAAAAGUGGAGAAUCCCUAGCAGUACAGAUGUACUAAUAAACCACACCUAGACUGUUAGAACAAACUCUAACACAUUUAGAAGAAAGUGACCAGGAUUGAGAGGGGACUCAAAAUCUUAUCCUCGGGUGAUUAGUUCAAGGGAUGGAGAAACUGAACGUGAAGGAAAGACCACUCACACAAUUGCUGUUUUAAAAUAUGGAAAGAACCUUUGAAUAGAGAAAGUUGAGAUUCAAGUACAGAACUGUAGGUCCCUGGUAGAGCCUAUGGGGAAAUAGGUUUAGGAUGCAUAUGAGAGGCAGUAUUCUAGUUAUUAGUGCUGUCUAUAUCUGGCAUGCACCUUUUCAGAAAGGAGCAUGGCACAGGCUGCCCACUGUAGGUGAUGUAGCCCUAGAGGGGUAUCAGAAACACGGCUGGCAAGGAACACCCCAGACAUUUCAAUCUGGAGGGCCUUUGGCUUUCUGUUUCCAUUGCUAGUCCUUGUCGAUAGAAAUUCAUCUGUUCAUGCACAUGCUGUGAAAAGUCUGUCCCGUAGCAAAGAAAAGCAUGAGCUAGACUAGGACUUGUCUGCAAACCAAAACAGCAUGAGGGACUCUGUGCUUUUAGUCCAAAUCUAAAAGCUAACCUCAUACCCACUAGUCAAUGGAGGACAUUCCACUGUAGGGGAGGAUUGGGGAAAAAAGAUAAAUGGCUAAUUAGGGGGUGGUAAGGCUUUUUGGUCAAGGGUCAGAAGUAAAUGCUUCAGGAGCUGCAGGCCAAACAUUCUCUCUUGCAAAUACACAGCCCUUCCACUGCUGAGCCCAAUGCAGACAGAGAGAACACACAAAAGAACAGGCCCAUCUUACAGUAAUGAUUUCCAUCCCACCACUGGAAUCUGAAUUGUGUGUGCGUUUAUAGGACGUGAAGUAUUCUUUAGACUUUUUCAAUAUUUUAAAUGUAAGACAAAGUAUCUGAGGUCCUAAUCUAUAUAGAGAGGGACACAAUUUGCCAAUUCCCAGACAAAGAUAAGAGGACAAUCAUGUUGCUAAAAUACAGAUAGAGAAGAGCAUCUCCAUAGCACAGCCUAAGCCCUCCAGACCCUACCUACCCAUCACUGGCCCUGCUAGGCCCUUCUCACCACAGACUGCCCUGGCGUCAUAAAAUUGCAGAAUGCUUGCAUCUGCUUUCACCUUAAUCCCUACAUCCUUGUUUGUGGUUGCAUUCUUAUUUUCCUUGCACUUCUCCAAUUGCCUAUUAACUUUAA